UACCAGCACCCCGAGUGGUCGGGACGAUUAUUGGGCCUAAAGCAUCCGUAGCCGGUUCUACAAGUCUUCCGUUAAAUCCACCUGCUUAACAGAUGGGCUGCGGAAGAUACUAUGGAGCUAGGAGGCGGGAGAGGCAAGCGGUACUCAGUGGGUAGGGGUAAAAUCCUCUGAUCCAUUGAAGACCACCAGUGGCGAAGGCGGCUUGCCAAUACGCGCUCGACGGUGAGGGAUGAAAGCUGGGGGAGCAAACCGG
rnacentral:rRNA from 1 species